GUGGCUGUAGCUCAGUUGGUAGAGCCCCGGAUUGUGACUCCGGUGGUCGUGGGUUCAAGUCCCAUCAGCCACCCCA
rnacentral:tRNA from 1 species